GCCAGGAUGGUCUAAUCGGUUAAGCCGUCGCCCCGGUCAGGCGAAGGUUGCGGGUUCAAUCCCCGCUCCUGGCC
rfam:Ixodes scapularis strain Wikel colony gcontig_1108378378348, whole genome shotgun sequence.